rnacentral:lncRNA from 1 species
GACUACUACAGCACAGAAUUAAGGAACCUGUCCUUUGACCAGCAGUAGAGGCGAUUGUCAGACACUCUGAAGUUUGAGCAGCCCUGUCCCCAGUAAACACUGCUUCCAGCAGGAUGAACAAUGAAUGAAUCGGAAGUUCUGGUGGUCAUUGCUACAUAACACAGCAGUCCCUCUGGACAGUGGAGAGAGGAGCACGUCCUAAUGGCCCCAAAUGUUAGGAAACUUUCCAUCCUCUGUCAGCUUCAUGGCUUGGAGUGUAAAGUGUGCUUCUCACACUUUCACAGGUGCAGCGGGGCAGGGACCUGAGAGUUUGCAUCUCCAUUGAGCUCCUAGAUGAGAACAGAAAAUGACAUUGGGAAGCAGUGAACUCACCAGAAGGGCAGAGAAAGUCAUUAAAUUCAACAUGCAUCAUAUUUCAUAAUCAGAACCCCGCAGUCAGCGCUGACACCACCGAAUGAGUUUGUUGCAGCCAUGAUAAUAUAAAAUCCAGUGCGUCUCCUUCCCC